GACGUAGGGGGCCAGCGUUGUUCGGAAUUACUGGGUGGAAAGGGUUCGUAGGCGGUGCGGCAAGUUGGGAGUGAAAUCUCUGGGCUUAACCCAGAGGCUGCUUCCAAAACUGCUGUGCUUGAGUGUGGGAGAGGCGCGUGGAAUUGCAGGUGUAGCGGUGAAAUGCGUAGAUAUCUGCAGGAACACCCGUGGCGAAAGCGGCGCGCUGGACCACUACCGACGCUGAGGAACGAAAGCUAGGGGAGCAAACAGG
rnacentral:rRNA from 1 species